rnacentral:rRNA from 1 species
GACGAACGCUGGCGGCGUGCCUAAUACAUGCAAGUCGAACGCAGUGGGGACGGGUGAGUAACACCUGGGUAACCUCCCAUCAGAGGGGAUAACACUUGGAAACAGGUGCAAAACCGAUAAUGAUGGACGGACUCGCGUGGCAUUAGCCAGUUGGUGGGGUAACGGCUCACCAAGGCAACGAUGCAUAGCCGACCUGAGAGGGUGAUCGGCCACACUGGGACUGAGACACGGCCCAGACUCCUACGGGAGGCAGCAGUAGGGAAUCUUCGGCAAUGGACGAAAGUCUGACCGAGCAACGCCGCGUGAGUGAAGAAGGUUUUCGGAUCGUAAAACUCUGUUGUUAGAGAAGCGGUAUCUAACCAGAAAGCCACGGCUAACUACGUGCCAGCAGCCGCGGUAAUUC